UAUGUGAUUUCAAAAAAGGUGAGUCCUA
rnacentral:sRNA from 1 species